rnacentral:rRNA from 1 species
AAGAGACAGCAGUCGCCGCGGGAAUACGGAGGGUGCAAGCGUUAAUCGGAAUUACUGGGCGUAAAGCGCACGCAGGCGGUCUGACAAGUCAGAUGUGAAAUCCCCGGGCUUAACCUGGGAACUGCAUUUGAAACUGUCAGGCUGGAGUCUUGUAGAGGGGGGUGGAAUUCCAGGUGUAGCGGUGAAAUGCGUAGAGAUCUGGAGGAAUACCGGUGGCGAAGGCGGCCCCCUGGACAAAGACUGACGCUCAGGUGCGAAAGCGUGGGGAGCAAACAGGAUUAGAUACCCGUGUAGUCCCUGUCUCUUAUAA